GCGGUUAGGAGUGGUCAGGCACUUCCGGUGUUUCUUCUUAGCUUGGUGCACUGCCCUUGCGGGGUGCCCGUCCUGCCCCAUGGCCUGGAAAGUGUGUCUAGCAGAAGCUGGGGUGCUGCCUGCUGUCCAGGGUCUGACAAGAUGCGGCACAUGCUUGGCAUAAGUGCUAGUUUCCGCAGCAGGAGGUGUGCCCAGCCCCAGACAGGACCUGAGCUCUGGCUCCGUUCACUGGAAGGCUGUUCCUUAGAUUUUUUUCUAGGUCACUUUUCUUCAUGGGAAGUCUUUGCUGCAGAUGACACGAGGAUGUGGAGGUUAGGCGUCAGGGUUUUCAGUCUCUGAUGAUGGAUGCUGGUGAUUUCAGUCUGGGGAGGUUUCUUUGUAGCAAAAGUAUGGCCCUGGGGUGGAGGAAAUAUGCCUUCUUCGGGGGUGCAGGCCCAUUUCUUGUCAUCAGCAGCUUUCUACUAUGCAUUAGGUCUCAGGCAUGUGUGUAUAAUGUACUAUUUUGAGUUUCUGGGAUUUCCUAUUAAUAUUCUUGUCUUAAAUACUAUUUUGUCUGUCAGUGAUUUUCAGCACGGGCUGCACAUGAAAAUCACCUUGAGAACUUUAAAAAUACACUGGAGGGAGUUCCUGUCAUGGCUCAGCUGAAACGAAUCUGACUAGCAUCCAUGAUGAUGCAAGUUUGAUCCCUGGCCUCGCUCAGUGGGUUGGGAAUCUGGUGUUGCCGAGAGCUGUGGUGUAGAUUGCCGAUGCAGCUUAGAUCUGGCGUUGCUGUGGCUGUGGUGUAGGCCAGCAGCUACAGCUCUGAUUCGACCUCUAGCCUGGGAACGUCCACAUGCUGCAGGUGCAGCCCCAAAAGGACAAAGGAUAAAUAAAAAUAAAAAUAAAAAUACACUGAAUCUGGGAGUUCCCCUUGUGGCACAGCAGAAACAAAUCCAGCUAGUAUCCAUGAGGAUGUGGGUUUGAUCCCUGGCCUCGCUCAGUGGGUCAGGGAUCUGGCAUUGCUGUGGUGCAGGUCACAGAUGAGGCCCGGAUCCCGCGUUGCUGUGGCUGUGGUGUAGGCCAGCAGCUGCAGCUCCAAUUCGACGUCUGAAUUGACAGCCAGAGCACAUCUUGAGAGCGUGUGGUGGAGCUGCAGCGCCUUUUGCAGCCGGGCCUCAGGGUCACAGUGUCACUUCUUCAUCUUCCCAUCCACUAGGUGGGAGUUGGCAAGGUUGGCCACCAUCAAGGAAAGCAGCUUAGAUCCUGCUGUUUUGUGGCCUCUCUGGCAUGGUGCCUUGCUAACUGGACAUCUUAGUGUCCAGGAGCCUGCUGGCGUCUUUUCGGCCCAUCAGUCAUGCUUUUCUUUUUUCUGGUAGCUUUUAGGACAUUUGGCCCUUUACGGCAGUAAGUCUGUAUGUGGGUGUUUUUUGUUUGUUUGUUUGUUUUUUGGGUUUUUUUUGCUUUUUAGGGCGGUACCUGCUGUAUAUGGAAGUUCCCAGGCUAGGGGUGGAAUUGGAGUUUGAGCUACCACCCUUUGCCACAGCCACAGCAAUGCAGGAUCUGAGCUGCAUCUGUGACCUGUAUCACAGUUCACAGCAAUGCCAGAUCCUUAACCCACUGAGCAAGGCUAGGGAUCGAACCUGCAACCUCAUGGUUCCUAAUCAGAUUUGUUUCCUCUGUGCCAUGAUGGGAGCUCCGGAUUUGUUUUUAUUUACUCUUCUUGGUGCGCGGGUGUACUUUUGCGCUAGAAAGCAGCUCUGGCUCUUCUGCUGGGGCCUCCUGGACACAUGGCGGCUGCUGGUCCUUCUUCCUGGACCUGCUCUCGCAGGAGGGGCGGGUGAGCCAGUGAUAGGCUGGCGGCAGAGGUCAGCUGCAUCGGUGCUGCAGGUGAGGCCAAGUGGGUGUCUGCCAGCUGAACGGUGCUGGGAGCAGGUGUGGAUGGGCUGGGUAGCUGGUAGGCAGACUCUGUGUACUCUUUCCUUCUGGAUGGUGUCUUGCACAUUGGUCAGGAGGCAAGAGGUCUGGGUCCCUGGCUCUGAAACUUCACACCUCGGUCACUGCCACAAAAAAAAAAAAAAAAAAAAAUCAUGUUUUGGGUUUUUGUUCUUAAUAGAAUGUUUACUAUUGUUAAUUAAGAAAGAAAAUAGAGAGAGUUCCAUGGUGGCCUAGUGGUCAGGACUUGGUGCUUUUACUGCUGCAGCCUGGGUUCAGUCUCUGGUCUGAGAACUAAGGUCCCACAUCAAGCUGCUGCACACUGUGAACAAAAAACCAAAACCAACCAAACAAACAACCAAGAAAGGAAAAGUAGAAGAAUAGCAGUAGAGACGAGUGAGAUCUCAUACUGUUUAUCCUUCGGCAGUGAGGCCGGUUGAAGUAAAACAGUUUUGAAGGUGCUGAAAUUGACAGUGGUGAACCGGGGAGUUUAGCUAAACAUUUUCCCCCCUUUUCUGCCUAUGCCUGGGGCAUGGGAAAGUUCUAGGGUCAGGAGGUGAACCUACGCCACAGCAGGACAACGCCAGACCCUCAACUGCUAGGCCACCAGGGAACUCCUUGACUAAAUUUUUAAUAUUUUGUGGGAUGUUAAUCUGCCCCCCUAGAUAUUUAUUAAGAAAACACUGUUCUUUCCUGCCGUAACAUGUCCGCGUUUGUUGUUGCUACUGCUCAGUCCAUGUGGGAAUGUUGCUGUGUCAGUGUGCCAUGCACAUUGCCUUCUUUUGCGAGCUCUGCCCUCCGUACGGAACUGAGCAGCUGAAGGUGGAAAGCAAACUUACGGCGGUUUGUCUUAAUCUCUCUGGCAUCAGGGUUUAGCAAAUCCUUGGCAUCAGGGAGCCUCCAACAGGGCAGAGAGCCCUUGAUGUGCCUUGGGGCAGAAAUGGUUGUCAGUAUUUUCUAUCUUACAUUUGUAACAUAUUCUAUAAAAAGUAAGUGUUCACGUGUUUCUUAUGCAGCAUUGGUCCCCUUUCCUAAAAAUCAGACAUUACACAUGAAAACAGAACUUUCAUUGUAUUAAAUGGGAAAAAUUGUUAGCUGAUCAUCAAUUGAUUUCCUAAAACAUGUCCGAAAUCCUGGUAAAAGACCUUCAUGUGCGAGAAGGGCCGUCACGCUAGGGUGUAAAACAAUUCUCAGGCGGGGGAAGGGAGGCAUUCGCCGUUGCUUUUGCUGUGGCGGCUCCCCGUUGACACUUUCCGGAUGUGAGCGUGCAGAGUGCGUCUCCCAACCUGGCGUUUGGGUUCCAACCUGAGAUUUUCUCCCUACGUGUUGUUUUG
rnacentral:lncRNA from 1 species